rnacentral:rRNA from 1 species
AAUGAACGUUGGCGGCGUGGAUUAGGCACGCAAGUCGAGCGCGAACCCCGCAAGGGGUGAAAGCGGCGAAAGGGAGAGUAACGCGUGGGUAUCUGCCCUCGGGACUGGGAUAGCUGCGGGAAACUGCAGGUAAUACCAGGUGACGUCCCCGGACCAAAGGUGUGAUUCCGCCUGAGGAUGAGCCCGCGUCCUAUUAGCUAGUUGGUGGGGUAAUGGCCUACCAAGGCAAUGAUGGGUACUGGGUGUGAGAGCACGACCCAGCUCACUGGGACUGAGACACUGCCCAGACACCUGCGGGGGGCUGCAGUCGAGAAUCUUCGGCAAUGGGCGAAAGCCUGACCGAGCGACGCCGCGUGUGGGAUGAAGGCCUUCGGGUUGUAAACCGCUGUCAGGUGGGAGGAAUGGGCGGAGGGUAAUCUCUUCGUUUUGACCUAUCCUCAGAGGAAGUACGGGCUAAGUUCGUGCCAGCCGCCGCCGUAA